AGAGUUUGAUCCUGGCUCAGGAUGAACGCUGGCGGCGUGCUUAACACAUGCAAGUCGAGCGAAGCACCUUGACGGAUUUCUUCGGAUUGAAGCCUUGGUGACUGAGCGGCGGACGGGUGAGUAACGCGUGGGUAACCUGCCUCAUACAGGGGGAUAACAGUUAGAAAUGACUGCUAAUACCGCAUAAGCGCACAGUGCUGCAUGGCACAGUGUGAAAAACUCCGGUGGUAUGAGAUGGACCCGCGUCUGAUUAGCUGGUUGGUGGGGUAACGGCCUACCAAGGCGACGAUCAGUAGCCGGCCUGAGAGGGUGAACGGCCACAUUGGGACUGAGACACGGCCCAAACUCCUACGGGAGGCAGCAGUGGGGAAUAUUGCACAAUGGGGGAAACCCUGAUGCAGCGACGCCGCGUGAGCGAAGAAGUAUUUCGGUAUGUAAAGCUCUAUCAGCAGGGAAGAAAAUGACGGUACCUGACUAAGAAGCACCGGCUAAAUACGUGCCAGCAGCCGCGGUAAUACGUAUGGUGCAAGCGUUAUCCGGAUUUACUGGGUGUAAAGGGAGCGUAGACGGUUGUGUAAGUCUGAUGUGAAAGCCCGGGGCUCAACCCCGGGACUGCAUUGGAAACUAUGUAACUAGAGUGUCGGAGAGGUAAGCGGAAUUCCUAGUGUAGCGGUGAAAUGCGUAGAUAUUAGGAGGAACACCAGUGGCGAAGGCGGCUUUCUGGACGAUGACUGACGUUGAGGCUCGAAAGCGUGGGGAGCAAACAGGAUUAGAUACCCUGGUAGUCCACGCCGUAAACG
rnacentral:rRNA from 1 species